rnacentral:rRNA from 1 species
CACGCACACACGCGCGGCAUAUCAAUAAGCGGAGGAAAAGAAACUAACUAGGAUUCCCUCAGUAACGGCGAGUGAAGCGGGAAGAGCUCAAAUUUGAAAUCUUCAAGGUUCUACCUUGACGAAUUGUAGUUUAAAGAAGUGUUUUCUGUUGGAGUUUUGGUAAAAGUUCUUUGGAAUAGGACAUCAUAGAGGGUGAGAAUCCCGUAUUUGACCAUUAUUUCCAACUUUGUGAUACACUUUCAAAGAGUCGGAUUGUUUGGGAAUGCAGUCCAAAAUGGGUGGUAAAUUUCAUCUAAAGCUAAAUAUUGGCGAGAGACCGAUAGCGAACAAGUACCGUGAGGGAAAGACGAAAAGAACUUUGAAAAGAGAGUUAAACAGUACGUGAAAUUGUCAAAAGGGAAGCGUUUGACACCAGUGUUGUUUUCUCGAAAAUCAAUUAAAAAUGGCUUGAUUUUGUGUUGUAUUGACCUUAAAAGCUUUCUGCACUUUUUUCAUGUCUUUUUUAAUGCACUUUUCGUUUAACAAGUCAACAUCAGUUUCUUUUGUUGUAAAAAAGCUUGAGGAAGGUGGCUUGAGAUUCGUCUUAAGUGUUUAUAGCCUCUUGCCUAUGCAGUCGGAGAGAUUGAGGUCUGCAGCGUAGAUCCUUCGGGGCUAAAUGCAUUUGUGCUAAGUUAUAGCAUUUUAUAGACAACUUGUUGACUAUGAUUUGUCUUGUAGCUUACUCGCUUAUGUUAUUUUACCUACGCUUAGGAUGUUGAUCUCUCACAGUCGAGC